UACAUGCAGCAUGCACAGGGUAGACCGCCCGCUGCCCGGACUGCCAAACUUGGAAAGUGUACACUGUCGUACAGUAUCUAUAAAUGUCAUCGAGAAAUCCCGAGCGUCAGACAGGGGGCUACUAUGCCUAUCACCGACCUGGCGGCUCACCACACUACGGCACAUACAGCCCUAGGCAGCGGACAGGCACAAUUAGCACGAUGCAGCUGAGCUCCGAGUACAACAAGAUAACAGAGACUUUCACUGCACGGCUGUGCAACACGCGUCUCCUGCUGAAAAGUACUGCUAAGGACCCAUAUUGCUUCUGAAUCUGCGGUUGCCUUCACAUCUCCUACCAACAGAGUUACCCCAUCAAGUUUUUUCAUAGAUGUCUUCAUAGGGUGGCCCAGACGCUCGCACGAUGCAAGAGUUCUCGCCAACUCCGAUCUCUUCAGAAUUGCUGAGGACAAGCUUGGUGGAUGGCUUUUCCCUAGAAAGAAAUCAGUGACUGUAGAUGGUGUGGACAUCCCGGUCUACCUCAUCGGGGAUGCAGCCUACUCUGUACAGCGCUGGCUGAUGAAGGACUACACCCAGCAUGGUCGUGAUGUUUCGACAAUCGAUGUUUGCCCAAUGUUCUAAAUUUUUACUUUUAAAAAAAAUGGUUUUGGGUUAUUUUUUUUUUGGGAAAGAAAACGUUUUGGUCAAUGUAUAAUUAAAUAUUACCAUAAUUCGAUCAUAAAA